AAAACGGGCUUCUGUUGUGAGUGGCACAUGUAGGGCAGGCAGCUCGCUUGUUCUUUGUGUGGAAUCGACAUCAAGAGAUUUCGGAAGCGUAAUUUUUUGGUACUUCGGUAGCUGGUGAUCGUUGGUCCUGGUGCCCUU